rnacentral:tRNA from 1 species
GAGGGAAUAGCUUAAUAGAGUGCAUGCUUAGCAUGCAUGAGGUCCUGGGUUCAACCCCUAGUACCUCCA